AGACAGCUCUGAUGAGAUAAAACAAGAGGCACCUGCUCYGAAUCCCUCCCAGGAAAAUCUCCACUGACUGUGAAAAGGGGGAGAUUAGGCUCCCCAGGGCAAAACUAGGGCUUUGGAUGCAUUGUGGGUGAAGCAUUUUGGAAAGUUUAUCUUGCAUAAUCGUGCUGUAUAUGAAUGUAGAAUCUCGACUUCUUGUAAUGACUAGACUGUUGUCCACUUCUCCUGGCAUUCAGCCACGAUUCAAUAAUCUAUAUUCUUUAUAAUGCAWAUACAAAGUGAUGAAUGACUGACCACUUUAUAAAACUGCACACAUACAGCCUUGGAAACCACUGAAAACCAUCUAGGCCAACUGUUUGACUUAAGUUUCACAACCACCUGCGUCCUGCCUGAACUGAUCUCUGCCAAAGCUGCUGUUCCCAGUUCUUUGCUGAACCUGCUCAUCCGUGGAAAAGGAUCUUCUUGCAAGUGCAUCUGCUUAGCCCUGCGUGCAAAGAUUGUUAUCCUGUAAACACAUUUUAGUUCAGCACACUGCACCAGAAACCUCAGCUACCGGAAGCUAAUGUAGUUUCUGUAACGUUAGCAAGUCAUCUGCCCUGGUCUUUGUUCUUCCACACGAUUAGGAUGUGUUUUUYUUGACAGCUACUCAACAGUUACUGCUGGAAAAUUAAAUUGUCACCUUUUAUCUUGGCUAUUAAUAUAACACACGUUAGCUGUUCU